GUUGUAUAGUCAAGUAAUUAAGUGCAUGUGGUGGAUGCCUUGGCAGUCAGAGGCGAUGAAAGACGUGAUAGCCUGCGAAAAGCUCCGGGGAGGCGGCAAAUAUCCUUUGAUCCGGAGAUGUCUGAAUGGGGGAACCCACCUACUUUAAGGUAGGUAUUGCAACAUGAAUACAUAGUGUUGCAAGGCGAACGAGGGGAAGUGAAACAUCUCAGUACCCUUAGGAAAAGAAAUCAAUUGAGAUUCCCUCAGUAGCGGCGAGCGAACGGGGAUCAGCCCAUUAAGUUAUGUGUGUUUUAGUGGAACGCUCUGGGAAGUGCGAACGUAGAGGGUGAUAUUCCCGUACACGAAAGGGCACACAUAAUGAUGACGAGUAGGGCGAGGCACGUGAAACCUUGUCUGAAUAUGGGGGGACCAUCCUCCAAGGCUAAAUACUCCUGACUGACCGAUAGUGAACCAGUACCGUGAGGGAAAGGCGAAAAGAACCCCUGUGAGGGGAGUGAAAUAGAUCCUGAAACCGCAUGCAUACAAGCAGUGGGAGCACCUUCGUGGUGUGACUGCGUACCUUUUGUAUAAUGGGUCAGCGACUUAUAUUCAGUAGCAAGGUUAACCGUAUAGGGGAGCCGUAGAGAAAUCGAGUCUUAAUAGGGCGUUUAGUUGCUGGGUAUAGACCCGAAACCAGGCGAUCUAUCCAUGAGCAGGUUGAAGGUUGGGUAACACUAACUGGAGGACCGAACCCACUGUCGUUGAAAAGCCAGGGGAUGACUUGUGGAUAGGGGUGAAAGGCUAAUCAAGCCUGGUGAUAGCUGGUUCUCCCCGAAAGCUAUUUAGGUAGCGCCUCGGACGAAUACCAUAGGGGGUAGAGCACUGUUUCGGCUAGGGGGUCAUCCCGACUUACCAAACCGAUGCAAACUCCGAAUACCUAUGAGUACUAUCCGGGAGACAGACUGCGGGUGCUAACGUCCGUAGUCAAGAGGAAAACAAUCCAGACCGCCAGCUAAGGCCCCAAAAUCAUAGUUAAGUGGGAAACGAUGUGGGAAGGCAUAGACAGCUAGGAGGUUGGCUUAGAAGCAGCCACCCUUUAAAGAAAGCGUAAUAGCUCACUAGUCGAGUCGGCCUGCGCGGAAGAUGUAACGGGGCUAAAACUAUGUGCCGAAGCUGCGGAUNNNNNNNNNNNNNNNNNNNNNNNNNNNNNNNNNNNNNNAUGCUGGAGGUAUCAGAAGUGCGAAUGCUGACGUGAGUAACGACAAAACGGGUGAAAAACCCGUUCGCCGAAAGACCAAGGGUUCCAGUCCAACGUUAAUCGGGGCUGGGUGAGUCGACCCCUAAGGCGAGGCCGAAAGGCGUAGUCGAUGGGAAAAUGGUUAAUAUUCCAUUACUUCUGUGUAAUGCGAUGAGAGGACGGAGAAGGCUAAAUCAGCCUGGCGUUGGUUGUCCAGGUGAAAGGAUGUAGGCAUGUAUCUUAGGCAAAUCCGGGGUACUCUAUGCUGAGAUCUGAUAGCAAGCUGUACUUGUACAGCGAAGUGGUUGAUGCCAUGCUUCCAGGAAAAGUCUCUAAGCUUCAGUUACACAGGAAUCGUACCCGAAACCGACACAGGUGGUCAGGUCGAGUAGACCAAGGCGCUUGAGAGAACUCUGCUGAAGGAACUAGGCAAAAUGGUACCGUAACUUCGGGAGAAGGUACGCUGUUGUUGGUGAUGGAACUCGCUUCCUGAGCUGACGACAGCCGCAGAAACCAGGCCGCUGCAACUGUUUAUUAAAAACAUAGCACUCUGCAAACACGAAAGUGGACGUAUAGGGUGUGAUGCCUGCCCGGUGCUGGAAGGUUAAUUGAUGGGGUUAGCGUAAGCGAAGCUCUUGAUCGAAGCCCCAGUAAACGGCGGCCGUAACUAUAACGGUCCUAAGGUAGCGAAAUUCCUUGUCGGGUAAGUUCCGACCUGCACGAAUGGCAUAAUGAUGGCGGCGCUGUCUCCAGCAGAGGCUCAGUGAAAUCGAAAUCGCUGUGAAGAUGCAGUGUACCCGCGGCUAGACGGAAAGACCCCGUGAACCUUUACUGCAGCUUGACACUGAACUUUGACCUUACUUGUGUAGGAUAGGUGGGAGGCUUUGAAGCUGGAACGCUAGUUCCAGUGGAGCCGUCCUUGAAAUACCACCCUGGUAAUGUUGAGGUUCUAACUCUGUCCCGUGAUCCGGGACGAGGACCGUGUCUGGUGGGUAGUUUGACUGGGGCGGUCUCCUCCUAAAGAGUAACGGAGGAGUACGAAGGUGCGCUCAGCGUGGUCGGAAAUCACGCGUAGAGUAUAAAGGCAAAAGCGCGCUUAACUGCGAGACCCACAAGUCGAGCAGGUACGAAAGUAGGUCUUAGUGAUCCGGUGGUUCUGUAUGGAAGGGCCAUCGCUCAACGGAUAAAAGGUACUCUGGGGAUAACAGGCUGAUACCGCCCAAGAGUUCAUAUCGACGGCGGUGUUUGGCACCUCGAUGUCGGCUCAUCUCAUCCUGGGGCUGAAGCAGGUCCCAAGGGUAUGGCUGUUCGCCAUUUAAAGAGGUACGCGAGCUGGGUUUAGAACGUCGUGAGACAGUUCGGUCCCUAUCUACCGUGGGCGCUGGAAAUUUGAGAGGAUCUGCUCCUAGUACGAGAGGACCAGAGUGGACGAACCUCUGGUGUACCGGUUGUGACGCCAGUCGCAUCGCCGGGUAGCUAUGUUCGGAAGGGAUAACCGCUGAAAGCAUCUAAGCGGGAAGCCUACCUCAAGAUAAGAUUUCCCUAGGACUUUAUGUCCUCUAAAGAGCCGUUCGAGACUAGGACGUUGAUAGGUUGGAUGUGGAAGCAUAGUGAUAUGUGAAGCUGACCAAUACUAAUUGCUCGUGAGGCUUGACUAUACAACACCCAAGCAGUUG
rnacentral:rRNA from 1 species